UUGGAGUUUAUUUGGGAAAUGGCUGUGGCACCAAAGAGCCUUGAAUGGUCUGUACGUACCUGUUCCCAGUGUUCAAGAGCUAGUGAUCCAAGGGCUACAAACUGUGCCACCUAGAUACGUAAGAGAUGACAUGGACAUCAUCAUCCACCGCUCCCUCCGAUCCUUCUCUUCGUGUACCCUUGAUAGAUAUGACCAAGCUGGUCAACCCCAGACUCCCAAGAACAAGAGAUUCAAAGGCUUCAGUACUCUGCAUGCAUGCAAAGAAUAUUGGGGUGUCUUUCAGCCGAGUUGAUAGCUUUGAAAUUUCCCUUGUCCCCCCACAAUGAGGACAAGUGUGGUGCCCACCUGCUUAAGGCAAUCCGGUAGGCCAUGAUAAUAAACCAUGGAGUUCCUGAUGAAUCGCUAAGCAACAUGAAAGAGCAAGUUCAAGCUAGGUUUUUUUGACCUUCCACUACAAGAGAAGAAACGCUGGGCGCAAAAACCUGGAAGUCUUGAAGGUUAUGGCCAGGUGUUUGUAAUUUCAGAGGAACAAAAGCUAGAGUGGAAUGACAUGAUCUUCCUCAAAAGUAUUCGUCCCCUUCAAGACAGAAAUUUGAAUUUCUGGCCAGAAAACCCCCCGGAAUUCAGGAAAGCAUUGGAGACUUAUUCUGAAGAUAUGACUAGGCUUGCGGUUUCUAUUAUAAGGUUCAUAGCAAUGGGACUUGGUCUAGAAGCUCAACAGUACGCUGAAAGUUACAGAGAAGGAUUUUACGAUAUGAGGAUAACUUGCUAUCCUCCUUGUCCCGAACCUGAGAGAGUUUCUGGGCUUAGUCCACACACCGACAUCAAUGGGAUAACUCUCUUACUUGAUUGUGGCGACAUGGCAGCACUGCAGGUUCUCAAAGAUGGCCAUUGGAUAAUGAGCAAUGGGAUUUACAAAGCUGCAGAUCACAGAGAAGUGGCGAACAAAUCAAAGCAAAGGCUGUCAAUAGCUACCUUCUGCAACCCCAACUCGUCCGUCGAUAUUGGACCAGCUGAGAAGCUCAUCAAGUCAGGAAGCCCACCUCUAUUCAGAACCCUUAAAAGUGAAGAGUAUCUUCAGCGCUAUUUCAAUCGGAAGCUUGAGGAUUCAUUCAUUGAUAGCUUGAAAAUCUAGUGUGACGCAGAUUGGUUUACAAGCAGACCCCAGUCGGAGGAAAAUAAAAAUAAAAAUCAUAUCUGUCCAACAUCGAUCAGAGAUGGCGUCAAAGUUGUUUUGAUUUAAGGCUCUAUAUAAACCUAAUGACGAUGGCCUUCCUUAUCCGCCAACUAUAUAUGUUGUAUUAUGGAAGAGUAGUGGUUCUUGUGAUUAUUUUUGUCAUUACGAUCCAUUAUACCAUGCAUCAUCUGUUGGUAUCAUAGCCCAAUUACUUUCCUGCCAUGGCGUGAACGUAAAGUGGGUGCAAAGAAGGAAAUGCGCGCAUAUGUAAGCCUUGGGGUUGUGGACAGGUGUACGUACGUGAAGAAGCAACACGUGAGAAACAACUGACGAUAUGGUUGCAAUGCAUGGAGGAGUAGUUUGAGCGGAUUGAUGAUCGAUUUGAGCAAUUUGAAGAACAAGUUGGUGCAUAAAUCAGAGCACUGUCCAAGCAAAUUUGUCAUAAUGGGUUUUGCUAAUUGUUGUCGCCAUCAACCGAAUUUGCGUUCUAUGGAUGAGGAUGAUGGUUUUAUCAAUAAAGAUGUAACAAGUUUAUUCAAUUGUUACUGAUUUCUA